rnacentral:tRNA from 1 species
GCGCCCGUAGCUCAGCUGGAUAGAGCAACAGCCUUCUAAGCUGUGGGUCAGGCGUUCGAAUCGCCUCGGGCGUACCA